ACAUACGACCAUAGGAGGUGGAAAACAGGGCUUCCCGUCCGCUCAGCCGUACUUAAGGCACCUGCCGGCCGGCUAGUAGUUGGGUGGGUGACCACCAGCAAAUCCCGGCUGUUGUAUGUU
rfam:Coccidioides immitis RS genomic scaffold supercont3.3, whole genome shotgun sequence.